AAUCGCGGCCUGCCUGGCCACCGCCCGCCCGAGCCCGCGAGCCCGCCGGCCGCUUCCGCUCCCACGCAAGCGCAGCAGCCGGGCAGCGAGCGGAGGGCGCCGGCACCAUGGUUCUGGACAGCGUGGCCCGCAUCGUGAAGGUGCAGCUGCCCGCCUACCUCAAGCAGCUCCCGGUCCCCGAGAGCAUUACGGGCUUCGCCCGCCUCACAGUUUCAGAAUGGCUCCGCUUACUGCCCUUCCUUGGCGUGCUUGCGCUCCUUGGCUACCUUGCAGUCCGUCCCUUCUUCCCGAAGAAGAAACAGCAGAAGGAUAGCUUGAUUAAUCUGAAAAUACAAAAGGAAAAUCCCAAGGUGGUGAACGAAAUAAACAUUGAAGAUCUAUGUCUCACUAAAGCAGCUUAUUGUAGGUGCUGGCGUUCCAAGACGAACAUUCUAAGUUGUUCCUAUGCCCAGAAAUCCACAUCUGGUAGCUGGCUGGUGUUUUAAUAAGCUUUCACAUGAACAUUAGCGUUGCCAUCAUCUGCAAAUUCACAGAAUUCUAUCCUAUGGACCUUACACGGGCACUGAAUAACCAAACAUAUUCACCAGGGGCUGCAUCACCUAUAGGAAAACGCCCAAGGCUGGGUAACUGUGCUCACAGUGUUCCAAAGCCAGUCAGUGCCUGAACCCUCUUCCGUUGUCAAUCUCAGCUCUCCUUCACAGCACAUCCCAAGAACUUCGUUACCUUGUUCUGUUCCUAAACAAAUCACCAGAGUCAAGAACCUUCUCUCCAGAAACAGGUAAACAGUGAACUAUGACUGACUGCCAGUAGGAAAGAUUCCAAAAAACCAAAUGAAAAUUGAAGAUGAAAGGCUCGUAACUUGAGAAGAUGGAACCAAGAACCAUGUAUCUCAGCCCCUGAAGACACCUCCAUGAUCAAAUUAUACAGGCAGUGCUUCAUGAUAAAUUUGCACGAAGUAGUGUGUGAUAGUUGAGAAGGCAGGAUGUUACAUUCACUGAUACUAGUGCCCACUGUGAGUUAAAAGUUUAGUGCUUGGCAGGCUAUAUCAGGUGUCCAGGAUGUCCGUGAGAAGUGGGGGCUUUAUUGCAGGAAACCCCAUUCAGUUGAGACAUUUUCAGACUUACUUACUAAUUUACCACAUAUUUUAAUUUCUGAAGACAUGGCAAGAUCCAAAUCUGGCAGGUGGGAUUUAAAUCUAAACAGCGCUAGAGAACUUGCCUACUUCAAGGACAAUGGAAAGUCCUGAUUCGAGGCUAGGUGCUCAGCCAUUCUUUGUCCCAUGCCUUCCCUGCAUGCAGAUUGGGUUAGGGAGGACACCUGUGGCUGCUUUGUCACCUCAACUGCUCCAUCUGACCCCAUGAUUUAGUUCCCGUCAUGGGCUUUGACUGGAAGCUUGUUUGUUAUAUGCACCAAGUCAACUAGUUUAUCUUUUGCAGAAGUCUAGUUUAGUGAAGGCAUGAAGCAGUCAUUAAAUGCAACACAUACCUUGGGAAGUGCAUAUUAUUAGCAAGUACACAUUCCUGUACUGUUUGGUAAGGACACUGAAAAUAUGUGCAGAAAGGCAAUAAGAGGGUUUUGAGCCAAGGAUGGCAUCACUAACUUUGCAGGGGUUUAAAUGCUCAGAUUCAUUGUUUACUAAAACAAAGUGCAAAAACAUGCUUUAAACAAUCAUGGGGAAAGCAUAUUUGUGACUAUUUUCUUGAAACAUUAGUCAAAUGGAUCAGCCAUGAUAACCAUUCUUUAGCACUAUAGUGUUGUAAUUUCCAAAAACUAGAAAAGGGAGGAAGUUGGUAAAUUGUGUAAUUGCAAAGAAGAACUUUACACUAGGAAGAAAAUAAUCUGUAAACAGUUCAGUAAAAUUUCCGUCGUGGCACCUUCACUGCAUUUCCUGCAUGAACACACUAGGCUAGAGGAACAUCAGUCACGUUCACUGUGACAGAGUUAAGAACAAAGCUUAGAAGUACAGAACUCUGAAGAAAAUGCUCCUGGGAAAUGAGGCAAAGUUAGAUACCUUUGAAGUCGGUAGCAAAGAACUGGGAAAUCUAAAAGAAAAUAGACAAUCUAGAAAAAAACCAUCUGACUUAUACUGACCCCAGCAAGGAAAAAUAAUGUUGUUUGACCAAUUACCAAGCAGAAAAUGGAAUGUGUAUUUUUCAAAUACAUAAUUCAGGGUUCUGGGGCUAUAGCUCAAAGCACUAGCCUAGCUUCACAAGGCACAAGUUCUGUCCCUAAUGCUGAGAAAAAGCCUAAUAAUUAAGGUUGCAAAAAGAGGUUACAUCAGCAUUCCUUGUCUUCUUUAUUUCAAGAGAAGGUCUGCCCCUGAGCUUAUGAUCCUUCUGCCUCAGGCUCAUAAUACUGGUAUUACAGGUGCCACCACAUCUGGCUGUCCUCCAAUUGUAAAGAAACACUCCAUUAUUUAUUCCACACAGCUAGUAUAGAAUUAACAUGAAAACCUGCAAAAGAAACAAGCAAAAACCCACAGAAGUAAACCAAUCUCAUUUAUGAAUAGGAAUGGGAAAAUAAACCAGUAUCGAAAGGAAUAAUAUGUUUUGGUAAAGAGCUUGUAUUUUAAAACAUUUCACUAUCAGCUAAUGUAUUAACAAUCAUGUAAAUGAAUUAAAGAACAGAAUAGCCACAGCCAUAGAUGCUGAGAGGAGCCAACUGCCAUUCCUAGUGAAGAUUUUUAUUUUAUUUUAUUUUUUUUUUGCCAGGGCUGAGGACCAA